ensembl:lncRNA
UCCAUUCUUUCUCCAGUCUUUUCUUUCUCCAGUCUUUUCUUUCUCCCAUCUUUUCUUUCUCCAGUCUUUUCUUUCUCCAGUCUUUUCUUUCUCCAGUCCAUUCUUCUUUUCUUUCUCCAGUCCAUUCUUUCUCCAGUCCAUUCUUUCUCCAGUCCAUUCUUUCUCCAGUCUUUUCUUUCUCCAGUCUUUUCUUUCUCCAGUCCAUUCUUUCUCAGUCCAUUCUUUCUCCAGUCCAUUCUUUCUCCAGUCUUUUCUUUCUCCAGUCCAUUCUUUCUCCAGUCCAUUCUUUCUCCAGUCUUUUCUUUCUCAGUCUUUUUUUUCUCCAGUCUUUUCUUUCUCCAGUCCAUUCUUUCUCCAGUCCAUUCUUUCUCCAGUCCAUUCUUUCUCCAGUCUUUUCUUUCUCCAGUCUUUUCUUUCUCCAGUCCAUUCUUUCUCCAGUCCAUUCUUUCUCCAGUCCAUUCUUUCUCAGUCCAUUCUUUCUCCAGUCCAUUCUUUCUCCAGUCCAUUCUUUCUCCAGUCCAUUCUUUCUCUCAUCCUUUCUUUCUCCAGUCCAUUCUUUCUCCAGUCUUUUCUUUCACCAGUCCAUUCUUUCUCCAGUCCAUUCUUUCUCCAGUCUUUUCUUUCUCCAGUCCAUUCUUUCUCCAGUCCAUUCUUUCUCCAGUCCAUUCUUUUUCCAGUCCAUUCUUUCUCCAGUCCAUUCUUUCUCCAGUCCAUUUUU